AGCUUUUGGGAGAAUUAGGAAGCCAUAUUAUAAUGGUGUAAAUUCAUUUAUUCAAUUUCCAAGAUCAAUUGUAGAUGGACAAGGUAAUAUUCUGCGCCCAUGUCUAAAGUUGGUCUAAUUCUUGUAUUAUUAUUUUCUUUGUUUCAGUUGUGGAACUAUUGGUGUUUGUUUGUACAAGUCGGAUUGGUCUCUCUCUUGCAAUUCCAGAUUGAAUAUGCAUAAGUUUGGUAGCGAGGAAGAUGGUAUAUAUACGCUUUACUACGAAGACUUUUUGUUUGGAUAUAUGCUUCUAUGAAGACUCUUUUUUUGGAUGAAGUUCCGAGUUUUCUUUUCUGGAUAUAUGCUUCUAUGAAGACUCCUUUUUGGUUGAAGUUUCGAGUCUUCUUUUUUUAUUUUAAUGAUGCUACCGAACUAUGAUGAACAUAUAUGGUAUGGUCUACCUUUCAUGUUUUUUUCAUGGGGACACUGAUGCUUUAGACCCUAUGGGUGUAUGGACAUUUUGGUGUAGAGUACACAGUUCUCGUGGUAAAUGGAUGUCUAAUUUGGACAUAAUUAUAUUGGUUUAUGAAGAUGUGUUGGCUAUUAUAUAUGGGGUAAUGUAUAAUUUAUUUGUU